GACAGAGGGUGCAAACGUUGUUCGGAAUUACUGGGCGUAAAGCGCAUGUAGGCGGUCUCGCAAGUCGGAUGUGAAAGCCCAGGGCUCAACCCUGGAAGUGCACUCGAUACUGCGAGGCUAGAGUCCCGGAGAGGAUGGUGGAACUCUCGGUGUAGAGGUGAAAUUCGUAGAUAUCGAGAAGAACACCGGUGGCGAAGGCGGCCAUCUGGACGGUGACUGACGCUGAGACGCGAAAGCGUGGGGAGCAAACAGG
rnacentral:rRNA from 1 species